rnacentral:rRNA from 1 species
AUUGAACGCUGGCGGCAUGCCUUACACAUGCAAGUUGAACGGCAGCACGGGAGCAAUUCUGGUGGCGAGUGGCGAACGGGUGAGUAAUACAUUGGGACGUGCCCCAUUGUGGGGGAUAACGCAGCGAAAGCUGUGCUAAUUCCGCCUGAGAUUUACGGAUGAAAACAGGGGGCCGCAAGGCCCUGCGCGAAUGGAGCGGCCGAUGGCAGAUUAGGUAGUUGGUGGGGGAAAGGCUCCCCCAACCAACGAUUUGUAGCUGGUUUGAGAGGGCGGCCCGCCCCCCUGGGAAUGAGACCCGGCCCCGACUCCUUCGGGAGGCCGCCGUGGGGAAUUUUGGGCAAAGGGGGCAAGCCUGAUCCCGCCAUGCCGCGUGCAGGAAGAAGGCCUUCGGGGUGUAAAAUGCUUUUGUACGGAACGAAAAGGUUCUUUUUAAUAAAGAGAGCUCAUGACGGUACCGUAAGAAUAAGCCCCGGCUAACUACGUG